GGAGUAGACUAGGUGAUCGCGGGUAGCGUUUGCUGCUCGAGGAAAGUCCGAGCUCCAGAGGGCAGGGUGCUGGGUAACGCCCAGUGGGAGCGAUCCUAAGGAAAGUGCCACAGAAAACAGACCGCCGUGCUGCACGGUAAGGGUGAAACGGUGAGGUAAGAGCUCACCAG
rnacentral:RNase_P_RNA from 1 species